AAAUGACAAUCCAGCCUGCUCUCACUAUGGCGAGCUCAAUGACAGCAGCUUCAAUCCAUACUGAGAGGCUAUCAUCGUUUCUUCCUGCGUACUGAGCAUGCUUGUUUUUUCCCCUCGCUGAGGCGAGAUGAUUUUGUUUGUAUGGUGAGCAAAUCUAUCGCCGAUGAUUGCUCUAAUGAGAUGAUCAAGCAACAGCAGCUCACAUGAUGAAAUCAUGAUGAGGUCGGAUUUUGGAGUGAGUAAACAUAUCUUCUCCACAUCGAGCCGCCAUUGUGUUGUGGUUUGAGGAGAACAUUGGAUCAUUAACGAAUUGUUUGCAUUUGUAAAACGUGCAAUAAUUGACCGCGGGCUACAUUUCUCAAUUCUUUUGUUGAAAGAACAUAUCAAAUAUCCCAAAUCAGUUAAAAUAUAGUGAAAUACUUCACAUGACGCACGGUUCGUUGAAGGAAACGUAAAAUCAUGUGUGGGAAGAUGAUGAACAACUUCCCGGGACAAUCAUUCAAGUACUGUCGCUAGGCAUCAAUAAAAAAUGAAGCAGCGUUUGACGAUGAAGAAGAUACCCGGUUGUGUGAUGGCCAUUAACCGUUAACGUUGAAAAUCAAGAGCAAUAUUACAUGGAUUGAAAAUACCUAGAGAUGAUUCGCAUCGAGUCGAAUUUAAAACGGAAAAUAAUGGUCCACAAAAGCCAUCUAAUAUAACAUGAAAGGCCAUGUUUUGGAUAUUUUUGAUUGUUAGCAAUGGCGGAUUAAGACGAGUGGAGGCCCUAAGCGGUCACACGAAAGUAGAGGCUUGAUUGAAGCGUCUAGCAGGGGAUUGUAUUAAAUGUCCUAACCAGAGAAGGAUUGAGUAACAAUUUUACUUGUGAGCGAGUCGUAGGUGCCUUUUUUGGGGCCCCUGGCCGACACAGAUGUUCGACACUUAAACAACUGAAUUCGAUGGAACACAUUAAAACUGAGGGAAAUACACAUCUAAUCAAUUACUUAAAAAAUAGUAUAAUUGUAUUGAUUCGUAAUGUAUUUUGUAGUUCUGACCUGCAUGCAUAAUUCUAAAACAUUCCUAUGAAUCACAGAAAGGCCUAAAACCUGAAGGCCUGCCUAAUAAACUUGAAAAAAAAACACCCGGCAAAUAACCCUAUAAAAACUAAAUAAAA